GUAAGGGCACACGGCGGAUGCCUUGGCGCUUAGGGCCGACGAAGGGCGUGGUAAGCUGCGAAAAGCCUCGGGGAGCUGCAAACAAGCCUUGACCCGAGGAUACCCCAAUGGGGCAACCUGCCUGGGUUAAUCCCCAGGCAUCCAUACCUGAAUCCAUAGGGUAUGCGAAGGGCACCGGGGGAACUGAAACAUCUAAGUACCCCGAGGAAAAGAAAACAAAAGUGAUUCCCCCAGUAGCGGCGAGCGAAAGGGGAAGAGCCCAAACCCAGCAGAUGUAAAAGGCUGCAACCGUUGUUUGCUGGGGGUUGCGGGAACAGCCCGACCAGUUUGCAGGCUGGUCCUGGAGUAAAAAAAGGAAGACUUAGCCCAAGGGGUCUGGAAAGCCCCACCACAGAGGGUAAAAGUCCCGUAGGCGAAAAGACUUUCUCUCCAGGCUGUCAUCCCAAGUACUGCGGGUCACGCGAAACCCCGUAGGAAUCCGGGAGGACCACCUCCCAAGGCUAAACACCCUAAGCGACCGAUAGCGAACCAGUACCGUGAGGGAAAGGUGAAAAGCACCCCGGGAGGGGAGUGAAAAAGAACCUGAAACCGUGUGUCUACAAGCCGUAGGAGGACUUUACAUGUCCCACUGCGUGCCUAUUGGAGAAUGAACCGGCGAGUUAUGGUGUGCUGCCUGGUUAAGGUACAAAGUACCGGAGCCGUAGCGAAAGCGAGUCUUAACAGGGCGUUUAAGUAGCAUACCGUAGACCCGAAGCCGAGUGAGCUACCCAUGGCCAGGGUGAAGCGUACGUAAAAGUACGUGGAGGCCCGAACCCACCGGUGUUGCAAAACCGGGGGAUGAGCUGUGGGUAGGGGUGAAAAGCCAAUCGAACUCGGAGAUAGCUGGUUCUCCCCGAAAUAGCUUUAGGGCUAGCCUCACAGGAUGAGAUAUGGAGGUAGAGCACUGAUUGGGCUAGGGGCCCUGACAGGUUACCGCCCCCAUUCAAACUCCGAAUGCCAUAUACUUUACUGUGGGAGUCAGACUACGGGUGCAAAGAUUCGUGGUCAAAAGGGAAACAGCCCAGACCGCCAGCUAAGGUCCCCAAAUCCAGGCUAAGUGGAAAAGGAUGUGGGGUUGCAAAGACAACCAGGAUGUUGGCUUAGAAGCAGCCAUUCAUUCAAAGAGUGCGUAAUAGCUCACUGGUCAAGUGACCCCGCGCCGAAAAUGUCCGGGGCUCAAGCUUGGUACCGAAGCUGCGGCUUACUGGAGGUUAGAUGUUAGAGGUUAGAAGUUGGAGGGAGAGGCAAAAUGAUACAAAGCUAUCAUGACUUAGAGGUGUAUCAAAGGUCCUACAAACUAGCACUGGACAUACACCGCAUGUCAUUUGCCCUGCCAAAAGAAAUGCGCUACGAGCUUUCUAGUCAAAUAAGAAGAGCCGCCGUAAGCAUACCUUUAAACAUUGCCGAAGGAUAUGGAAGAAAAGACUCUGCCAAGGAAUUCAGGCAUUUUUUACGAAACAGCCUUGGUUCCACAAACGAAGUCCAGGUACUACUCGACAUGACAAAAGACCUUGAUUACAUUACAAAAGAAAUGCACAAGUCUUUUAAACAAGAAUACACCAUCCUUGGAAAACAGCUCAACAGGCUGAUACAAAGAUGGCGUAAAAUCUAAAAGUCCAACUUCCAACUUCCAACAUCCAACCUCCAGUAGGGGUAGGGGAGCGUUCCCACCGGGCCGAAGCCUGACUGCAAAGACAGGUGGACUAGUGGGAAGAGAGAAUGCCGGUAUGAGUAGCAAAAAGAGAGGUGAGAAUCCUCUCCGCCGAAAACCCCAGGAUUCCUGAGGAAGGCUCGUCCCCUCAGGGUAAGGCGGGACCUAAGCCCAGGCCUAAAGGCGUAGGCGAUGGACAGCCGGUUAAAAUUCCGGCCCCACCCAAUACCGCUUGAGAGAAGGGGUGACGCAGGAGGGUAGGCUGAGCGCACCGUUGGAAGAGUGCGUCCAAACCUGUAGGCGGGACCUUCAGGCAAAUCCGAAGGUCUGAUAACGCCAAGGGGUGAAGGGGAGCGAAAAUGUUCGCGAAGCAGCUGACCCCAUACUGCCAAGAAAAACCUCUAGCGAUGGUCCUUGGGUGCCCGUACCGCAAACCGACACAGGUAGGUAGGGAGAGAAUCCCGAGGCGUUCGGGAGAACCCUCGUUAAGGAACUCGGCAAACUGACCCCGUAACUUAGGGAUAAGGGGUGCCGCGUUAGGGUGACAUAAUUUACUUAUCAAGCCCGAGGCGGCCGCAGAGAAUUGGCCCAAGCGACUGUUUACCAAAAACACAGGUCACUGCUAAGAAGCAAUUCGACGUAUAGUGGCCGACGCCUGCCCGGUGCUGGAAGGUUAAGGGGAGGGGUGAGAGCCCAGAACCAAAGCCCCAGUAAACGGCGGCCGUAACUAUAACGGUCCUAAGGUAGCGAAAUUCCUUGUCGGGUAAGUUCCGACCCGCACGAAUGGCGUAACGACUUGGGCGCUGUCUCAACGAGGGACCCGGUGAAAUUGCAGUACCUGUAAAGAUGCAGGUUACCCGUGGCUGGACAGUAAGACCCCGUGGAGCUUUACUGCAGCUUGAUAUUGGAUUUUGGUACUACAUGUAUAGGAUAGGUGGGAGGCUGCGAAACCUUGGCGCCAGUUGAGGUGGAGCCAUCCUUGGAAUACCACUCUUGUAGUAUUAGGGUUCUAACCCGAGGCCGUCAUCCGGUCUGGGGACAGUGUCUGGUGGGCAGUUUGACUGGGGCGGUCGCCUCCCAAAGAGUAACGGAGGCGCCCCAAGGUUCCCUCAGCGCGGUUGGGAAUCGCGCAGAGAGUGUAAAGGCAAAAGGGAGCUUGACUGCGAGAGGGACACCUCGAGCAGGGACGAAAGUCGGGCUUAGCGAUCCGGCGGUUGCGUGUGGAAGUGCCGUCGCUCAACGGAUAAAAGCUACCCCGGGGAUAACAGGCUUAUCUCCCCCAAGAGUCCACAUCGACGGGGAGGUUUGGCACCUCGAUGUCGGCUCAUCGCAUCCUGGGGCGGAAGUUCGUCCCAAGGGUUGGGCUGUUCGCCCAUUAAAGCGGUACGUGAGCUGGGUUCAGAACGUCGUGAGACAGUUCGGUCCCUAUCCGCCACGGGCGCAGGAAACUUGAGAGGAGCUGCCCCUAGUACGAGAGGACCGGGGUGGACGGACCUCUGGUGUACCAGUUGUCCCGCCAGGGGCACAGCUGGGUAGCCACGUCCGGAAGGGAUAAACGCUGAAAGCAUCUAAGCGUGAAGCCCACCUCAAGAUGAGGUUUCCCACCCUGUGCCCAACUUAGGAAGCCAGUAUUUAUUGGCCGAAAGGCCAUAGGCCUUGAGGCCCUAAACCAUAUAAAA
rnacentral:rRNA from 1 species